AGGACUGAACACAGACGACUCAGCAUGGAGUUUGGGCUGACGUGGAUUCUUCUUCUUGCUGUUUUAAGAGGUGUCCAGUGUGAGGUGCAGCUGGUGGAGUCUGGGGGAGGCCUGGUGAAGCCUGGGGGGUCUCUGAGACUCUCCUGUGCAGCCUCUGGAUUCACCUUCAGCAGCUAUGCUAUGAGCUGGGUCCGCCGGGCUCCAGGGAAGGGCCUGCAGUGGGUCUCAAGUAUUAACAGUGAUGGUGGUAGCACACACUACGCUGACUCCGUGAAGGGCCGAUUCACCAUCUCCAGAGACAACACCAAGAACACGCUGUGUCUGCAAAUGAACAGCCUGAGAGACGAGAACACGGCCAUUUAUUACUGUACUAAGGGCACAGCGAGGAGAAGUCGGCGUGAGCCCAGACACAAACCUGCCUGCAGGAGGGGCUCAGGACCACCAGGGGGCGCGCAGGGCCCAUGCUCUCAAGGACCAUCACAGAGGCAGGUGCAGAUGGAG